rnacentral:rRNA from 1 species
AUUGAACGCUGGCGGCAGGCCUAACACAUGCAAGUCGAACGAGUGGCGGACGGGUGAGUAAUGUCUGGGAAACUGCCUGAUGGAGGGGGAUAACUACUGGAAACGGUAGCUAAUACCGCAUACCAUCGGAUGUGCCCAGAUGGGAUUAGCGAGUAGGGGGGGUAACGGCUCACCUAGGCGACGAUCCCGAGCUGGUCUGAGAGGAUGACCAGCAACACGGGAACUGGAGCACGGUCCAGACUCCUACGGGGGGCAGCAGUGGGGAAUAUUGCACAAGGGGCGCAGGCCUGAUGCAGCCAGGCCGCGUGUAUGAAGAAGGCCUUCGGGUUGUAAAGUACUUUCAGCGGGGAGGCGUUACCCGCAGAAGAAGCACCGGCUAACUCCGUGCCAGCAGCCGCGGUAAUUC